rnacentral:rRNA from 1 species
GAUGAACGCUGGCGGCGUGCCUAAUACAUGCAAGUCGAGCGAACAGACGAGGAGCUUGCUCCUCUGACGUUAGCGGCGGACGGGUGAGUAACACGUGGAUAACCUACCUAUAAGACUGGGAUAACUUCGGGAAACCGGAGCUAAUACCGGAUAAUAUAUUGAACCGCAUGGUUCAAUAGUGAAAGACGGUUUUGCUGUCACUUAUAGAUGGAUCCGCGCCGCAUUAGCUAGUUGGUAAGGUAACGGCUUACCAAGGCAACGAUGCGUAGCCGACCUGAGAGGGUGAUCGGCCACACUAGAACGGAGACACGGUCCAGACGCCUACGGGAGGCAGCAGUAGGGAAUCUUCCGCAAUGGUCGAAAGCCUGACGGAGCAACGCCGCGUGAGUGAUGAAGGUCUUCGGAUCGUAAAACUCUGUUAUUAGGGAAGAACAAAUGUGUAAGUAACUAUGCACGUCUUGACGGUACCUAAUCAGAAAGCCACGGCUAACUACGUG